GACAGAGGCCCCGAGCGUUAGGCGGAAUCACUGGGCUUAAAGCGUGUGUAGGCGGACGCCUAAGUGUCUUGUGAAAUCCCACGGCUCACCCGUGGAACCGCUGGGCAUACUGGGCGUCUUGGGCCGUUCAGGGGCGACUGGAACAAGCGGUGGAGCGGUGAAAUGCGUAGAGAUCCCCAAGAACACCAGUUGCGAAGGCGGCUGACUGGACACAUAUUGACGCUGAGGCUCGAAAGCAUGGGGAGCAAACAGG
rnacentral:rRNA from 1 species